UACGGGGGGGAGCAAGCGUUGUUCGGAUUUACUGGGCGUAAAGGGCGCGUAGGCGGCCACCGCAAGUCGACUGUGAAAUCUCCGGGCUUAACCCGGAAAGGUCAGCCGAUACUGCGGGGCUAGAGUGCAGAAGGGGCAACUGGGAAUUCUCGGUGUAGCGGUGAAAUGCGUAGAUAUCGAGAGGAACACCUGCGGCGAAGGCGGGUUGCUGGGCUGACACUGACGCUGAGGCGCGAAAGCUAGGGGAGCGAACAGG
rnacentral:rRNA from 1 species